rnacentral:tRNA from 1 species
GGCUCAGUGGUCUAGGGGUAUGAUUCCUGCUUCGGGUGCAGGAGGUCCCGGGUUCAAAUCCCGGCUGAGCCC